AGCUUUAUGAAUCCGUGCUGAGAUUUUGUCAGACACCAGACCGCCGGUACUAAUGAGACUCCUAAGAUAAGUGAGGCG
rfam:Schistosoma haematobium scaffold84_14, whole genome shotgun sequence.